rnacentral:rRNA from 1 species
GACGAACGCUGGCGGCGUGCUUAACACAUGCAAGUCGAACGGAAAGGCCCUGCUGUUGUGGGGUGCUCGAGUGGCGAACGGGUGAGUAACACGUGAGUAACCUGCCCUUGACUUUGGGAUAACUUCAGGAAACUGGGGCUAAUACCGGAUAGGAGCUCCUGCUGCAUGGUGGGGGUUGGAAAGUUUCGGCGGUUGGGGAUGGACUCGCGGCUUAUCAGCUUGUUGGUGGGGUAGUGGCUUACCAAGGCUUUGACGGGUAGCCGGCCUGAGAGGGUGACCGGCCACAUUGGGACUGAGAUACGGACCAGACUCCUACGGGAGGCAGCAGUGGGGAAUAUUGCACAAUGGGCGGAAGCCUGAUGCAGCAACGCCGCGUGCGGGAUGACGGCCUUCGGGUUGUAAACCGCUUUCGCCUGUGACGAAGCGUGAGUGACGGUAAUGGGGAAAGAAGCACCGGCUAACUACGU